GUGGGGAAUUUUCCGCAAUGGGCGAAAGCCUGACGGAGCAAUGCCGCGUGGAGGUAGAGGCCCCUGGGUCAUGAACUUCUUUUCCCGGAGAAGAAAAAAUGACGGUAUCCGGGGAAUAAGCAUCGGCUAACUCUGUGCCAGCAGCCGCGGUAAGACAGAGGAUGCAAGCGUUAUCCGGAAUGAUUGGGCGUAAAGCGUCUGUAGGUGGCUUUUUAAGUUCGCUGUCAAAUACCAGGGCUCAACCCUGGACAGGUGGUGAAAACUACUAAGCUAGAGUACGGUAGGGGCAGAGGGAAUUUCCGGUGGAGCGAUGAAAUGCGUAGAGAUCGGAAGGAACACCAACGGCGAAAGCACUCUGCUGGGCCGACACUGACACUGAGAGACGAAAGCUAGGGGAGCGAAUGGGAUUAGAAACCCUAGUAGUCCU
rnacentral:rRNA from 1 species